ACAAUGGGCGCAAGCCUGAUCCAGCCAUGCCGCGUGUGUGAUGAAGGCCUUAGGGUCGUAAAGCACUUUCGCCAGAGAUGAUAAUGACAGUAUCUGGUAAAGAAACCCCGGCUAACUCCGUGCCAGCAGCCGCGGUAAUACGGAGGGGGUUAGCGUUGUUCGGAAUUACUGGGCGUAAAGCGCACGUAGGCGGAUUAGUCAGUCAGAGGUGAAAUCCCAGGGCUCAACCCUGGAACUGCCUUUGAUACUGCUAGUCUUGAGUUCGAGAGAGGUGAGUGGAAUUCCGAGUGUAGAGGUGAAAUUCGUAGAUAUUCGGAGGAACACCAGUGGCGAAGGCGGCUCACUGGCUCGAUACUGACGCUUGAGGUGCGAAAGUGUGGGGAGCAAACAGGAUUAGAUACCCUGGUAGUCCACACCGUAAACGAUGAAUGCCAGUCGUCGGGUAGUAUACUAUUCGGUGACACACCUAACGGAUUAAGCAUUCCGCCUGGGGAGUACGGUCGCAAGAUUAAAACUCAAAGGAAUUGACCGGGCCCCCAACCGGGACCUUUGGUUAAUU
rnacentral:rRNA from 1 species